rnacentral:rRNA from 1 species
AAUGCGGCGCGUGCUUACCAUGCAGUCGAACGGAAAGGCCCUUCGGGGUACUCGAGUGGCGAACGGGUGAGUAACACGUGGGUGAUCUGCCCUGCACUCUGGGAUAAGCCUGGGAAACUGGGUCUAAUACCGGAUAGGACCACACACUUCAUGGUGAGUGGUGCAAAGCUUUUGCGGUGUGGGAUGAGCCCGCGGCCUAUCAGCUUGUUGGUGGGGUAAUGGCCCACCAAGGCGACGACGGGUAGCCGGCCUGAGAGGGUGACCGGCCACACUGGGACUGAGAUACGGCCCAGACUCCUACGGGAGGCAGCAGUGGGGAAUAUUGCACAAUGGGCGCAAGCCUGAUGCAGCGACGCCGCGUGAGGGAUGACGGCCUUCGGGUUGUAAACCUCUUUCAGUAGGGACGAAGCGAAAGUGACGGUACCUACAGAAGAAGGACCGGCCAACUACGUGCCAGCAGCCGCGGUAAUACGUAGGGUCCGAGCGUUGUCCGGAAUUACUGGGCGUAAAGAGCUCGUAGGUGGUUUGUCGCGUUGUUCGUGAAAACUCACAGCUUAACUGUGGGCGUGCGGGCGAUACGGGCAGACUAGAGUACUGCAGGGGAGACUGGAAUUCCUGGUGUAGCGGUGGAAUGCGCAUAUAUCAGGAGGAACACCGGUGGCGAAGGCGGGUCUCUGGGCAGUAACUGACGCUGAGGAGCGAAAGCGUGCU